AUGCCGAGCUUCCCUCCGCCGGGCGGCGUCACCGUCUGCGAGAUCAACCGCGACCUCGUCGUGGCGGACUCCCUGUCGGAGGAUCGCGCCAAGGAGGCCUACGGCGAUGUCCUCGGGAUGGUGUUCAGCCCAAUUCCUUUCCAGCCGGAUGAUCUCCUAGCCAAGCACGAGGCUCCUGCUCCAGACGAAGCUGAGCUCGCUGAGAGUGUCCCCAGGACAAGUUUGGUCUCCACCAUAGCCGAGUCCUUCAAGCAAAUGCUCUUCCCUUCUUGCAAUCCAAAACUGCUAGAAGAAUUUGAUACCCAGAAAGUAAGCUGGAAUCCACACAAACACUGUUUAGCAUUUGUAUCUGGGAAGGACCAGGUUACGGUCCAUGACUUUGAGGAUUCAGAUGGUAAAGAAUCGUGCAUUCUAACAAGUGAACAUCAAAAGGAAGUUCAAGCUAUUGAAUGGAGGCCAAAUAGCGGGAAGAUGAUUGCAGUUGGCUGCAAGGGAGGUAUAUGCCUCUGGUCAGCGUCAUAUCCUGGCAAUGUUGCAUCUGUGAAAUCUGGUGUCGCCUCUUCUUCCUUUGGCGCCUUCCCUAGAGGUUCUAGUGGUCAGUGGAUUCUGGUGGAUGUUCUUCGUGGUUCUUCUCCUGAGCUAGUUAGUGCACUUUGCUGGAAACCUGAUGGAAGAUACUUGGCCUCGGCCUCUUGUAAUGGCCAGUCAUUCACAAUUUGGGAUGUUUCUCAAGGGUUGGGAACUCCUAUACGACGCGGAUUGAGUAGCAUAUCAUUGGUGCGGUGGUCACCUAGUGGAGAUUACCUUUUGACUGCUAAAUUCGAUGGAACUUUUCACUUAUGGGAAACCAACACAUGGACGUCAGAACCCUGGUCUUCAUCCAAUGGAUAUGUAACUGGAGCAAACUGGGACCCAGAAGGUCGUGUUGCAUUGUUAUCCUUUUCUAACUCAACCACACUAGGUUCAGUUCACUUCUCAUCAAAGCCACCAUCUUUAGAUGCCCAUCUCCUACCAGUGGAGCUUCCAGAAAUUUCCUCUCUGAUUGUUAGUCGAGGCAUAGAGAAAUUAGCAUGGGAUGCUUCAGGAGAGCGUCUGGCAUUGUCAUUCAAAGAUGGUAAUGAAACAUAUCAGGGACUUGUUGCUGUCUAUGACGUGAGAAGAUCUCCGCUUGUGUCAGUUUCGCUGGUUGGAUUCAUCAGAGGACCUGGAGAGGGCGUGAAGGCGCUCGCGUUCGCCUUCCACAACAAAUUCAAGCAAGGACCGCUGCUUUCUGUGUGCUGGAGCAGCGGCUGGUGCUGCACAUACCCCCUGAUACUCCGCUCCCAUUAA
rnacentral:rRNA from 1 species